AAAAGACACGUAAGGGCGUACAGUGGAUGCCUUGGCGCAAUGUACCGAUGAAGGACGUGGUAGCCUGCGAAAUGCUUCGGGGAGCUGGCAAACGAGCUUUGAUCCGAAGAUGUCCGAAUGGGAAAACCCACACAAGUGAACCUUGUGUACUUUAUCGUAAAAGCUAAACAUUCGUGUUUAGCCAUAGCGGUAAAGAGGAGACCCAGUGAACUGAACCAUCUUAGUAACUGGAGGAAAAGAAAACAAUUGUUAAGUUGCUGAGAGGCAACUUGAUACUAUUCCCUGAGUAGCGGUGAGCGAAACGGGAACAGCCCGCAACUGAAAAAUUGACAUACUGUUAGCUGAAUUACCUGGAACCGGUAAGCCAUAGUGAGCAAACGCCUCGUAAGCGAAAAUGGUAUGUGAUUGUUGCUGCAAGUUUCUUCGGAAACUUGUUAUGAGUAGCAUCGAACACGUGAAAUUCGGUGUGAAGUAAAUGUGCUUGCACAUUUUAAGGGGGACCUCCCCCUAAGGCUAAAUAUAUAUUGCGACCGAUAGUGAACAAGUACCGCAAGGGAAAGGUGAAAAGUACCCCGUUGAGGGGAGUGAAAUAGUCCCUGAAACUGUACGUCUACAAGCAGAGGGCGUCUUAAUACGUUUACGUAUUGGGACCACCUCGUGUCUUUUGGAGCAUAAGCCGGCGAGCAACUCGUUGCCUGCAAGCCUAAGCCAUUCAGUGGCGGAGGCGUAGGGAAACCGAAUGUUGUUUAAUUGCGACGGGGUCUUAAUAGGGCCCUUAGUAGGUAACGGUUGGCCCGAAACCGAGUGAGCUAUCCAUGGUCAGGGUGAAGGGAAGGUAAAACUUCCUGGAGGCCCGAACCAGUGUCUGUUGAAAAAGGCUUGGAUGAACUGUGGAUAGAGGUAAAAUGCCAAACGGACUCGGAAAUAGCUGGUUCUCCUCGAAAUGGCUUUAAGGCCAGCGUUUUUUGAUGCUAUGGUUGGGGUAGAGCUACUGGAUGGAUGUUGGUGGGUAACCGCUUGCUUCCAACCAAACUCCGAAUACAACUAUAGUUAGAAAGACAAGUUAGUAUACGAGGGCUAAGCUUCGUAUACGAAAGGGAAACAACCCAGAUCGUACGUUAAGGUCCCUAAGUUUUAUCUUAGUGGGAAAGGAAGUCAUAUUACUUAGACAACCAGGAGGUUGGCUUAGAAGCAGCCACCCUUUAAAAAGUGCGUAACAGCUUACUGGUCAACUAUGUGGUGUGGCGCCGAAAAUAUAACGGGGCUCAAGAUAAGCACCGAAACGACGAAUUGUGAGAAUAUUUAUAUUCUUGCAGUGGUAGGGGAGCGUUCUAUAUGCGCUGAAGCUCUUCGCGUGAGCGGGGGUGGAGCGUAUAGAAGUGAGAAUGCCGGCAUGAGUAACGCAAAUCAGUCGAGAUUACUGGUCACCGAAUACCCAAGGUUUCCGCAGCACUGCACAUCAGCUGCGGGUUAGACGGGCCUAAGGCGAGGCCGUAAAAGGCGUAGUCGAUGGACAAACGGUUAAUAUUCCGUUUCUUCUUAAUAACUAUCCGCAUACUGACGAAGAACCUAGUUCUUCCUAGAAAAGGUAUGAGAACAACUAUGUUAAGAAUCCGUACCGUAAACCGACACAGGUGGGUGAGGAGAGUAUCCUCAGGUGAUCGAGAUAACCUUCGCUAAGGAACUCGGCAAAUUGCUGUCGUAACUUAGGGAUAAGGCAGACCGUCCAAACUUUUCUUCGGAAAAGGUUGUGGCGGUGACACAAACCAGGCUCAAACGACUGUUUAACAAAAACACAGCUCCCUGCUAACUCGAAAGAGGAUGUAUAGGGGGUGACGCCUGCCCAAUGCUGGAAGGUUAAGGAAGCUUGUACGUAGUUUACUUUGUAAACUACAAGCUUGCGACUGAAGCCCCAGUGAAUGGCAGCAGUAACUAUAACUGUUCUAAGGUACCGAAAUUCCUUGUCGGGUAAUUUCCGACCUGCAGGAAAGGCGUAACGAGUUGAGCACUGUCUUCAGCGAAGGGCUCGGUGAAAUUGCAAUGGCCGUGAAGAUGCGGUCUACCUACACCAGGACAAAAAGACCCCGUGGAGCUUUACUAUAGCUUGGCAUUGAUUUAGGAGUAUUUCUGUGUAGCGUAGCGAGGAGACUUUGAAGCAGGGCCGUCAGGUUUUGUGGAGUCGCAAGUGAAACACUCGCCUGGAAUGUUUUUAAAUCUAACUUUAAGCCGUGAUCCGGCUUGAGGACAGUGUCUGGUAGGUAGUUUGUCUGGGGCGGAUGCCUGGCAAAUUCUAACCCAGGUGCCCAAAGGUUCCCUUAGUCCGGAUGGAAAUCGGACCACAAGUGUAAAGGCAAAAGGGAGCUUGACUGCAAGGCUGACAAGCCGAGCAGCAGCGAAAGCUGGGCUUAAUGAUCCUGCCUAUCUUAGAGGUAAGGAGGCAGCUUAUCGGAUAAAAGUUACCCCGGGGAUAACAGAGUGGUCGCGCCCAAUAGCCCGUAUUGCCGGCGCGGUUCGCUACCUCGAUGUCGGCUCAUCACAUCCUGGGGCUGUAGCCGGUCCCAAGGGUUGGUCUGUUCGCCCAUUAAAGUGGUACGUGAGCUGGGUUCAAACCGUCGUGAGACAGGUUGGUCUCUAUCCGGUGUAGGCGUGUAAUGAUUUGAGGGGAGAUUCCGCUAGUACGAGAGGACCGUGGAGUGCGAACCUCUGGUGUACCAGUUGUCUUCGUCCUUUGGACUCGACAACUUUGUGAGUUUUUCGUUAGAAAAACUCAAUACAAGGUUGCCGGUUCCAAGGGAUUAGGGCAUCGCUGGGUAGCUAUGUUCGUUUCGGAUAAGCGCUGAAAGCAUAUAAGCGCGAAGCCAACCCCGAGAUUAAAUCAAGUAGUUUGUUUACAAACUACGCGGUUUCCUAGGAGAAUACUAGGUUGAUAGGUCAUAGGUGUAAGUGUAGCAAUACAUUCAGCCAAGUGAUACUAAUAAACCGUCAG
rnacentral:rRNA from 1 species